rnacentral:lncRNA from 1 species
CCUCCUUUAAAACUCAUGUCUUCAAUUAUCCCUGUGCUUAAAUCCAACAAGACUAGUUUACCAUCUUUUGUUUUAAAGAAUAUAUCACCAUUCUUUCCUGUUCCAACAACACGCUCAAUGUUGGACAAUGGUCCAACAACGAACAAUUUAGUCCAUAAUUUCUUUACGCCAAGUUCACCCAAAAUUGAUAUGUGAAAAGUAGUCGUAUACCAUAAGAUCGAAGCAAUUGACCCAUUAAGCAUCGCCAAACGUCUAUCCACGAAUAGAAAACUAAGACCGGGGUCACUAUCGGGAGCUAUUUCUAGCGGAAUGGC